GCGCCCGUAGCUCAACUGGAUAGAGUGACGGACUACGAAUCCGUAGGUUGCGUGUUCAAAUCACGCCGGGCGCG
rnacentral:tRNA from 1 species